ACCCCAUCCGUCAGCCACUCACUUCCUGCCAAACUCUGCCUUCCCAGCAGCCAGCAAGCUCCUCCCUCGAGUCUAGUUAGUCUUCCACUGCCACGUCAAGUGAGGCAGAAGGACAGAAGGGAAGCAAGAAGGGAGGGAGCAAAAACCAGAAGAGGGAGGGAGGCUCAACAAUGCCAGGGCAUAGUGAGAAAGAAGGGAUGUGGAUUGCUCCUGCAGCAGCCAGAGGUGCAGCAUAUCCCAGGUGGAAUCCAGGUACCAGCCUGACACCAGCAUUGGAAGAGGAAGGCGCUUGGAAACUUGCUCCAAAUUGGAAACAUGCAGGGAGCAACAUUUCUUCUCCCCCAGCUGCCAGAGGAGGAUGUUUUUCCAAUCAGGACUUGGACUUUCGUUCACCCCAUCUCUGCCCUGCACAACCCCAUCCCAAAAGCAGGGAGGGGAAAGGACUAAUGAGCUGCUGAUUGCCGGAGAGCAGAUCGCAGAGGCUCCACUCCGUCUGCCCAGUGUUCAGACUACCUGUUCAGGACUACGAGAUUGUACAGUAGUCUGCACAUUGGUUAGGCUGUGCUGGGAUACACCACACACUGCCAGUGCUGCACGGGGACGGCAACACCUGCACGGCAGAGGGACAUGCUUGGAAAGGGUGGGCUCUGGGGAUGGCUGCAUGCAGAGGUCACUCAUCCCUCAGCCUGGGGGGUCUAACCUUUUGGAGCCAUGCCUGAUCAUCACUUUUACCUGCCUGUUCACCAGCCUACUCACAACCCUCUUAUUUCUCCUUUGUCUCUCAUUCCAUUCUUAUUUCUUUCAGUUUCAUGUGCUUGUCCUAAAGUAGCUGUGUUCAGGAUGGCUUGUGUUUCACGCUAAGCUUUGCCAUAAAAUGCAGAAAUAAACACACAGGCCUGUCAAGAGUCACAA